ACCCAAUGCCCACACCAUGGAAAAAAAUCUAGAGGCUAUGCUAGAUAAUUUAUAAAGAGCUAGAUUUAAAUUCUAGAACCAUGCUAGAGUCCAUAUGCUAGGGUCAAUUCAUAUACAAGGAACCCGCUAAAGCCUGAUAAUUUUUAGAAGAUCUAGCUGAGAAAAAUUUAUAAUAAAAAAUAACUAGAGAACUUGAGAGACCAACACCU
rnacentral:lncRNA from 1 species